UACGUAGGGUGCAAGCGUUGUCCGGAAUUAUUGGGCGUAAAGAGCUCGUAGGCGGUUUGUCGCGUCUGCUGUGAAAACCCGAGGCUCAACCUCGCGCCUGCAGUGGGUACGGGCAGACUAGAGUGCGGUAGGGGAGAUUGGAAUUCCUGGUGUAGCGGUGGAAUGCGCAGAUAUCAGGAGGAACACCGAUGGCGAAGGCAGAUCUCUGGGCCGUAACUGACGCUGAGGAGCGAAAGCAUGGGGAGCGAACAGG
rnacentral:rRNA from 1 species